UUUUUGCAUGAGUGACAACUUCUUAGAGGGACGUUCAUCAUACAGGAGAAGGAAGGAGGAGGCAAUAACCGGUUUGUGAUGCCCUUAGAUGUUCUGGGCCGCCCGCCCGCUACCACGAAGGCACCAACGAGCCUUCUACCCUUGGCGAAGGGGCGCGGGUAAUCUUGUUAACACGCAUCGAGAUAGGGAGUGAUUACACUAUAUUUUUAAUCUUGAGAGAGGAAUUCCUAGUAAUCGACGGUUCAUCCAACCCCAAUGAUUAUCGUCCCUGCCCUUAUACACACCGCCCGUCGCACACUACAGAUAUAAAUGGUCCGAGAGGACUCGAGGAUUGUGGUGUGUGGCUCCUCCACAGCGCGCCGACCCCGAGAACUCGUCCUCUGUAAAACUACGGCCAGUCCGCGGUAAUCCAGCUCCA
rnacentral:rRNA from 1 species